UCUGGCUGUAUGGCCCCCCUC
rnacentral:miRNA from 1 species